rnacentral:rRNA from 1 species
AACGAACGCUGGCGGCAUGCCUAACACAUGCAAGUCGAACGAAGGCUUCGGCCUUAGUGGCGCACGGGUGCGUAACGCGUGGGAAUCUGCCCUUGGGUUCGGAAUAACAGUGAGAAAUUACUGCUAAUACCGGAUGAUGACUUCGGUCCAAAGAUUUAUCGCCCAAGGAUGAGCCCGCGUAAGAUUAGCUAGUUGGUGAGGUAAAGGCUCACCAAGGCGACGAUCUUUAGCUGGUCUGAGAGGAUGAUCAGCCACACUGGGACUGAGACACGGCCCAGACUCCUACGGGAGGCAGCAGUGGGGAAUAUUGGACAAUGGGCGAAAGCCUGAUCCAGCAAUGCCGCGUGAGUGAUGAAGGCCUUAGGGUUGUAAAGCUCUUUUACCAGGGAUGAUAAUGACAGUACCUGGAGAAUAAGCUCCGGCUAACUCCGUGCCAGCCGCCGCCGUAACAC